rnacentral:lncRNA from 10 species
CCUGUAAUCCCCACGUGUGGAGGGAGGGAGGUGAUUGGAUCAUGGGGGUGGUUUCCCCCAUGCUGUUCUCAUGAUAGUGAGUGAGUGCUCACGAGAUCUGAUGGUUUUAUAAGUGUUUGGAAGUUCCUCCUUCAUUCUUCUUUCUCCUGCUGCCUUGUAAAGAAGUUGCUUGCUUCCCCUUCAGCUUCUGCCAUGAUUGUAAGUUUCCGGAGACCUCUGCAGCCAUGUGGAACUAUGUUCUGGAAGAGGAUGUCUGUAAUCCUGCCCCUGUGAGGCACUGAUGGUGAUGUGCUACACUCUGUCCCACAUCAGCCUUUUUCAACCCUAGUUGUAUUGGCUGAAUCUGGGUCAAAUUGACUCUAGAGGACUCUAAAUAUAAUCCGGCUUUAAGAAAUGGCUUUUUUCCUUUUCGUGGAAAAGAUUACUCAAAGAGUAGAUAUUUGAAACUUCCUUUGUCCAGAAAAUGAAAAUUAUUUUUUAAAAAGCAUGAUUUUUCUGAUGGCAAAAAUACAAGUGUUGUGACGGGAGCACAGCUGGUCCUGAAAAGGCACAACACUCAGACAAGCAUGUGAGAUUGCAUUCGUCCCUGCUGGGGAGCCCCGAGCUUUAGAGCAUCUGCCCCAUUAGACGAUCAGGGCAAUGCGUGGAAGAAGGCUAGUGCCUUGCUGCCUGGGUGUGGUCUGUGACAUCAUCUGGGAUCUUGUAAGAAAUAUAGAACCUCAGGCCCUGCCAAAGGCUUUUUGAAUCAAACUCUGCAUUUUAGCAAGCUCUUCUGGUGAGUUGUGCACACAUCAGGAGUAUAGUCGGCAUCUGCUAUUUUUGUCGGCCCUGCAUUUCUUACUCUGGUAACUGCGUCUCCUACUCCUUCUUGAAAGAACUACUCCCUUCUCCCUACAUUCCUGUGAUUCUGAUGGGGUGGCCAAUUACAGGGCCUUAACUUUUUGGCCAUAGAGGUGGGCACAUAAUUCAGGUCUGAACAUUCAGGCUACAAUGAUUAGUUCAGGGUAGCGACAGGGGACCCAAGGGGUCAGGGAUUCUUCCCUGUGUUUCUUCACACUGGUCUCUUCCCCAGGCAUCUCUUCCCUCUGGAGUCAUGAACCUGAGAAGAGGUAAAUGUGGAAUUGUAAACAGCUAUUUUCCCAGCCAAGUGGAGAAUCCUUGUCCGCUAUAUGCGAGAGAGUAAUGCACCUAAAGAGAAAUAGAGAUAAGGCAUGGAGAUCUGGUGCCCUGUUGCUACCUGUGGUUUGAUUAUAUGAGCUCCUAAAAUGUCUUUUCUACUUAGCCUAUUUUGAGUUAGGUUUCUGACCCUUACAAAGGAAGCAAAGAUUUAAAUGACACAGAUAGAUAUCAGAAAAGGCAGGUUGCUCUGAGAAGACAAAGCUUUGCAAGUUCAAAUACUAACUUAUAACACAAGAAAACAAUGGCAAAUUCUGUCAUCUUGCAUUUUCCUCACCUCAAUUCUCCAUCCUUCUUUAUACUGUAUAUAAAACAAUUCUCAUAAGAUUUUUGAAAUGUUUAAAUAAAAAAAUUGAAUAUAGAACCCUAACAUGGUGGCUGAUAUAUAGCAAAUGUUCAGUAAAUCUUAUCUACUAUCAUUGUUUUUAUUAUUAUUAUAACUGCUACCUCACAUAGCUCAUUUGAUAAGGUACACUCUCUCUAAUCCAGGAAUCUGAAUGCUACUUUACCCUUUCGAGUCUCAAUAACUGGUUUGAGUUCUGCAAUGCAAAUUUAACUGGUUUUUUUUUUAGCCCCUGGUGGACCAAUUUUCUCAUUAAGAAGAAUAGCAGAAUUAUUCAGGCUGGAUAGGAGCUCUAGGUGCAUGGAAAGAUAAGCAUAAUUCAGUUUCCCUUCCGGAGAAAGCAGAAAGGGCCAGAGUUGGCCAUGCAAAGAAAUUUCUUUCCCAAGCUGACACUAUCUAAACUUCAAUGGCAGCCACUAUCAAGAGAGGCAAUUCCCCUUGGUUGUUCCUCUUCUAGGUCCCCUCUCUUCCUUGGUUGCACUCAUUGGCCAUGGAUAUGAACAGCAAUUUCCAGCUAUAACGUAUAGAAACUCCUCUCUUGGUGUCUUUGGCCCUUGGGACCAUUCUCAAAUAUUUUCUCUGUCUUUAUAGCUGAAAACCUUAGGGCUUUUUAAAAUUUUUUCCUUCUGAUCUGCUCACAAAGGAAUCCUUCUUACCUGUGGGUUGUCAAGCUUUUCAAAGUAACAGCUCCUUUGAGGAAAUUGUCCAAAGCUCUCUAUCUUGCCUUAGGCAAAUAAAUUUAUGUGGCACCAUAUAUCCGCUAGUCCCUUCAAUUUCUUUCCAUGCUUCCUUGAGGCAGGCAUAAACACAUGGAUGCUUUGGGCAUAAGUUAGGCGACUUCUUCCCAGAGAUGCCUUCUCAGGCUACGGUGGGGUAGGUGUCAUCAUUGCCUUCAACUGAAGUCUGAGUUCAGGUAUUUCAACACUUGGCAAUAGCCCCAAGGCCUUUUUGUGUCUCUCCACAGGGCAAUGGUGACAUCUUGGAAAGUCAAAUUAGUAGUUUUCUGGAGAAGAAAUUAGGAAGAAAGUGG